GCGGUGCUAAUACCGGAUAAGACCACAUUCCGUUCGCGGAAAGAGGUAAAAGCUGACCUCUCCAUGGAAGUUAGCGUUCGAGGACGGGCCCGCGUCCUAUCAGCUUGUUGGUGGGGUAAUGGCCUACCAAGGCAGCGACGGGUAGCUGGUCUGAGAGGAUGAUCAGCCACACUGGAACUGGAACACGGUCCAGACUCCUACGGGAGGCAGCAGUGAGGAAUUUUGCGCAAUGGGGGAAACCCUGACGCAGCAACGCCGCGUGGGUGAAGAAGGCUUUCGGGUCGUAAAGCCCUGUCAGGUGGGAAGAAACUCUUCAGUACUAAUAAUGCUGAAGCCUGACGGUACCACCAGAGGAAGCACCGGCCAACUCCGUG
rnacentral:rRNA from 1 species